rnacentral:rRNA from 1 species
CAGCAGCCGCGGUAAAACGUAGGUAGCAAGCGUUGUCCGGAAUUAUUGGGCGUAAAGGGCUCGCAGGCGGUUUCUUAAGUCUGAUGUGAAAGCCCCCGGCUCAACCGGGGAGGGUCAUUGGAAACUGGGAAACUUGAGUGCAGAAGAGGAGAGUGGAAUUCCACGUGUAGCGGUGAAAUGCGUAGAGAUGUGGAGGAACACCAGUGGCGAAGGCGACUCUCUGGUCUGUAACUGACGCUGAGGAGCGAAAGCGUGGGGAGCGAACAGGAUUAGAUACCCGUGUAGUCCCUGUCUCUUAUAC